UAGAAAUAAAGUUAAUAACUGAGGUGUCAGGCUAUACAAAAACAUAAUACCCUUUUUCCUUGCCAAAACAUAACUGUUCAACCUGUCCCCUACCAUCAUUUACCAUCUUCAAGCCCUAAAUGAGAUACCAAUCUUCUUCAAUUCUCUCCCUUGCUUUCUCUUUGUCGUUCUCAUUUCACUUCCCUAAUCCAAAAAAAAAUACUAUCUUUCUUUCUUCUCUUCGUCUGGAAUCCAUAUGCCAUUAUAUAUUUUCUAUAGUACCUUUACUCCUUCCACUUCAAUGUUCACUCUCUCCUUAAAUGGAUUAUUGCGGUUUCAGAUCACCAUACAUGAUAAAAUUCUCUUCCUUUUCUAUUUUCAUCCUUUGGAGCGAGUUGCGGAGGUUUAUUCCACGCGCCAUUUUAAUGAGUAUGGAGCCUGAUACCAUGGAGAACGUCAGAUUAGUGACGUACGGUAAGAUAUUAUGAUCCGAUAAUUUCGUAUUCGGACAGUCUGGCGUUGGAUAUAACUGGGCCAAAGGUCACUAUACUAAAGUGGCUGAGUUGGUUGACUUGGUUCUUGAUGUUGUUAGGAAAGAAGCAGAGAACCGUGACUGCCUUCAAGGUAAUAUUAGUUAGUGCUUUGUGUUAUUCUUUAGUAUUUGGUUAGUAAGGAUUUCGUUCUUUUGAAAAUGUUAGGUGUUUUUGUUAGUUAAAUUAGGCCUUUUUUAACUAUUUUAUUGUAUAUGGAUUUCUUAUUUAUUUUCUAUUUUGGUCCAGGUAUUAAUGCAUAUUCGUUCUGUGCAUAUUCGUUCUGUGUUUUAUGUGUUGUGUUUGCUGGGUGAUGAUCCAGAAUAAUUUCUUCUUUUAUUUUAAUUGUUUAAUUUUUUUAAUUUGCGGUAUCUCAUGUAUCUUUUUGGAUUUUUCAGAUAUGGAUGUAUAUGUUACAAAUGAAGGAAUAACAUUAUGUACAUAACCAAAGUAAGCUUAACAUAAAAAUAAAGGAAAGAUGACUAUUUAUACUCUAACAUAGAAAUAACUAUACUACCCUUACAAUAAACAUUUAAUUACAGUGUUUAACAUUCCCCCUCAAACUCACGAUGCGAUAGCAACAAGUAUCGAGAGUUUGUCAGAUAAAAAACGAAAACGUGAAUUAGUUAGACAUUUUGUAAAUAAGUCCGCAAGCUGUAAGGAAGAAGAAACAAAAGGUAAUGUCAAGGUGCCAUUCUGAAGAUGAUGACGGGUAAUAUGACAGUCGAUUUCGAUAUGCUUGGUCCAUUCGUGAAAGACUAAAUUGUGUGCAAUCUGAAUAGUGCUCUUAUUAUCACAAUGUAAAGGAGUUGGUUGCUGCAGAAAGACAUCUAUAUCAGCAAGUAACCAUCACAACCAAACUAUUUCACAAGUAGUAGAAGCCAUAGCGCGAUAUUCAGCCUCCGUUUAGGAUCGAGAAAUGACGUCCUGCUUCUUACUUUUCUAAGAGAUAAGGGAAUCACUUAAAAAGAUACAAAAUCCAGUAGUUGAUUUGCGGUCAGUGGGAUCAGCAGCCCAAUCAGCAUCGGACUAAGCACAUAACUCUAAAGAUGAAGAAGAUGAAAAUAUAAGAGUCUGAAACUGAGUGCCGCGGAGGUAUCUCAAAAUGCGAAGAACAGCAGCCCAAUGAACUGUAGUAGGAGAAGUAACAAACUGACUGACUAUAUGAACAGCAUAUGCAAUAUCAGGACGAGUGAUAGUAAGAUAAACCAAACUUCCAACAACAGUCCGAUACAGACUCGGAUCCGGCAGUAGAGAACCAUCAGAAGCAGAAUAACGAGCAUUGAGCUCAAUUGGAGUAUCAACAGUCUUAUUAUCAAAAGGCGAGCACGCUCAAAAAUAUCAGAAAUCUACUUAGAUUGAGAAAGAAAAUACCCUUUUGGAGAAGAAGCAACUUCAAUACCCAAGAAGUAACGAAGGGAACCCAAGUCCUUCAUAGCAAAACAACGAGUCAGUUCAGACUUUAACAGACUAAUCCCGACAACAUCAUCACCUGUAAUAAUCAUAUCAUCAACAUACAGAGAAAGCAAAAUUCGACUAGUCGAAGUACAUUUGAUAAACAGUGCAGAGUCAUGGUGGCUAGAAUGAAAACCAAGUGAAGUAAUUACAGCAGAAAACUUCUCAAACCAAGCGCGAGGAGCCUGUUUGAGACCAUAAAGAGCCUUCCUAAGUCUGCAAACUUCACCAAGAUGAUGAUCAAGACCAGGAGGAGGGACCAUAUAAACUUCUUCGUGAAGAUCGCCAUUCAAAAAGGCAUUUUUGACAUCCAUUUGAGUUAUAUCCCAAUGGCGAACGGAAGCAACAACAAUAAGAGUUCGAACUGUAGUCAUUUUAGCAAUGGGAGCAAAAGUCUCUUCAUAAUCCAUACCAUAUUCUUGAGAAUAACCCUUAGCCACUAAACGAGCUUUAUACCUUUCAAUAGAACCAUCAGACUUAGUUUUAAUCUUGUAGACCCAACGAGAACUAAUAGCACACUUUACCUGCAGGAAGGAAUACCAAAUCCCAAGUAUGGGUUUGGUGAAGUGCAGUUAACUCCUUAGCCAUGGCACGCUGCCAAAGAGGAUCAAGAAUGGCCUCUUUGAAAGAUGAAGGUUCAGAAAGACGAUGAAUAGAAGCGAGAAAAGAAACAAAUGAACUCGAAUAACAAGAAUAAUCAAAAUCAGGUUGUUUAGUGGACUUACAAUUGCGUACAGGAUAGCGAGGUACGAUAGUAUCCGCAGUCUCAGAAGAUGAGUGGGCGGAGUGUGUAAUAGAGGAGCCAAUAGAGGUGUCAGGAAUGUCAGCAGAGGGUAGCUCAUCAACAUCAGUAGCAAAAGGGUCAAUAUAGAUAAGAUCAGACAUAGAUAUAUGGUGAGGACGGUCAGGAAUUGCAAAAUAAGGAAUGUGUUCAAGAAAAACAACAUGACGAGAAACAUAUAAUUUAUGACUGAUUGGAUCAAAACAACGAUACCCUUUUUGACCUGCACCAUAACCAAGAAAGACACAUAUAGUAGAUCGAGAUGAUAGCUUACUGCGUUCAAGAUGAGGAAGAAGAACAAAACAUGUAGAACUAAAAACACGAAGAGAAGUAUAAUCUAGCAGACGACCAUACAAUCUUUCAUAGGGAGACAAGCCAGAAUUAUGAGAAAUAGGAAUUCUGUUAAUUAAAUGAACAAAAGUAAGAACUCCUUCCCCCCAAAAUUCACUAGGAACACUAGCAGACAACAAGAGUGAUCGUGCAGUCUCUAGAAUGUGCCUAUGUUUUCUUUCAGCAACUCCAUUUUGUUCAGGAGUAUCAAUGCAAGAAGUUUGGUAAAUUGUACCAUUAAAAGCAAGUAGAUCCUUAAAAGCAUGAGAAGUAUACUCUCCCCCAAAAUCACAUCUAAAAUAUUUGAUAACAUCUGAAUGUUGGGUUUUCACAAGAGAUCGGAACUCAUUAUAAAUGCCAAAAAAGUCUGAAUGACGUUUCAUAAGAUAAACCCAACAAUAACGAGUGCAAUCAUCAAUAAAAGAUACAUAAUAGCGAGAACUCCCUUUUGUAGAAACAGGAGAGGGUCCCUAUACAUCAGAAUGAAUAAGAUCAAAAGGAGCAACAUAUAUAGUAGUGCUUUUAGGAAAAGGCAAUGCAUUAAACUUGGCUAGUUUGCAACCACUACAAUCAGAAAUAUCAUGAGUUUUUAAAUUUCCUAAAGCUCCUAUAGAAACUAAAAAUUUUAAAUGAGACACAGAGACAUGACCAAGGCGAGAGUGCCACAAAUAAAACACAGAUGAAGAGGGAUUCAAAUGAAAAGAUGACAAAUUCACACUAGGAACAACAACCGCAGUGUGAGGGGUUUUGAGUUGAUCCAAUACAUAAAGUCCUCCUUCUCUAUGGCCGAUCCCAAUCACUUUCUGAGACUGUGCAUCCUGAACAAAACAAGCAGAAGAAGAAAAUGAGAUUGAGCAUCCAGUAUCACAAAUCUGACAAACAGAAGCAAGAUUUAAAGCAAGACUAGAAUGUGAUAGACAUUAGACAAAGAUAGAGAAGGUGUAAUAAUCGAACCAACAUCUUGCAAUGGCAUAGGUGUACCACUAGCACUCAUAACAGGAACUGAAACUUUAGGGGUUAGAGAAGUAAAUAAUGAUAAAUUAGGUGACAUAUGGUUUGAAGCACCAGAAUUUAAAAUCCAAGAGGAAGGGGAUAUACCUGAAGGACUAGAUGACAGACCUACUUGAGAGGAAGCAGACAUGGCAUGAGGCUGAGAAGCAAGAAACUGCUGAAACUGCUCAAUCAGUGAUGGGUCUAAGGAGGAGGUUGAUAAGGCAUUGUGAGAACGGGGUAGAAGAGGAGGUCCAUUAUGGAGAGGCGGUAAUCGAUACGACCACUGAUGAGACUAUUGCUGCUGCUGUUGAUGAAACUGUUGCUGUUUUCCUCUGCCCAAUUUCGGACACUAAGAUUUCCAAUGACCUAUUUGCUUGCAGAACCCGCAUUCAUCACGAGCAACAGGUCCAUAUGGCUUGAACUGAGAUUUAGAGUUUGAUCGAGGAAGCAUGGUAAAAACAGAUGGAGUAGAAGCUGAAGAAACCUCUUUUACAACCGAAGACUUUAAACGAAUUUCUUCAGCCAAAAGUUCACUAAUAACAGAAUCAACAGAAGGCAAUGGAUGACGAUGCAGAAUAGACCCACGAAGUCCCUCAAACUCAUCAUGAAGGGCCAUUUAAAAACUGUACCAAUCUCUGCUCCUCUCUUCGUACAAUCUAAGGCCCAAAGGCUCGUAAUUCAGCAGGUUCUGUGAGAGCCAACUGAUCCCACAAAUCUGUCAUAGCAUUGUAGAAUUCUUGAAUACUCAUACUUUUCUGCUGAAGAGCCCGAAUGUCAGACUCCAACUGGUAUUGCUUUGCAAAAUUAGACUGUGUAUACAGUCUAGCUAGGUGAUCCUAAACCUCCUUAGCCGUCUCAUAUUUUGCUAAUUGGGUGCCUAUCGAAUGCUUAACAGAAUUAUUGAUCCAAGUAAUAAUUUUUGAAUUAUCAACUUCCCAUUUAUCUAAUAAUGCCACAUCAUCUUGAGGCUUAAUAUAAGCACCCGAAAUAUAUCCCCACUUUUGUUUCCCUUUCAAGAAACUUUUCAUCACGUAGCUCCAAUACACACAAUUCUUACCAUCCAACUGAACACUAACUGCUUGAAGCGAAUCAUCUCUAGCUUCAGCCAUACGGAACAGAUAAAAGAAAGGAAAAUUCAACAGAAAUCAACAACAAUCAAUUACUCCAAAGAAGGGGCAACAAAUCUACUUUUACAAAUUGAUAACAAUCUUACAAAGCCUCUUAUACAGAUUGCUUAUGUGCUAUAACCAUUUAUCAAUAUGAAACCACAAUAUAUAAUUUCCCACCAAGCAAAUAAAUUUAAGCCACAGCCCCUAUCAACAAAUCCAACCUUAUAAUGUUGUGUCUGUCAACGUCGAAAAGCAAAGAAUUUUGUCGAGCAGGUGGCAUGCAAGGAGUACCACUGACCAACACGCCACGAACAGCAAAAAACCAGCAGCAAGAAGCAGAUGCACACAGCAAAGAAAGGAAGAACUAGCAGACACACAGUAGUCUAUUUUCCAGACGCAGCAAUGCACGUAGCAGCAAGAAGUAGAUGCACGCAGCAAAGAAGAGAAAGAACGAGUAGACCACAGCAGUCUGCACAACAGAUUUAACAGGAGAGUUUUGUCGAAUAGGUGGCGCGCAAAGUGGAAAUGCCGACGCAUAGCAGCAAGAACCAGCAGCAAAGCAGCAGACGCACGCAGCAAAGCAAAAAGAUGCACGCAGGAAAGAGGAAGCUCUGAUACCAUGUUACAAAUGAAGGAAUAACAUUAUGUACAUAACCAAAUGAGGAGGCGUUCUAAUAAGGAUUUGAAGUAUGUUUAUCGAUCUUGAAUGAUUCCAAAUAGCGAUCUGGUCUAGGCUCUGAAGGUAUUGAUGCAUGUUGUUUGUAUUGCUUCUUCUGUGUUUGCUGGAUUAUGAUUGUAAGUGGAAAUCUUAUAUGGAUAAAAUUAUGUCAGUCUAUGUGCAGGUAUUUGAUUAGGCUUUUAUGCAAUUGGUUUUCUACUUCUUAAUUUUUCUCAUGCUGUUUUAUUACAAACUCUUGGUUCACAUGCAGAUUUCUCAUAUGGGUAACUCCAAAAAUCCAAAGAAGAGACCUAAAAGUAUAGAGGCAUCAGAAGGAGCAAUAUUGACAUUCAAGUUAGUCAUUUGACAUAUUUUUCUUAUUCAUUAGAUAAUAGGUUUUGUACUUAUACAUAUAAUACUCAAAAUGAAUAUCAUCAAAGCCUCUGAAUCCUAGAUCUUUACCUUAAAAUAAAUCUGUGGUAGUUGAUAGGUGCGCGUGUUAUUUUUAUUUAUUUAAAGUAAUUUCUUAUUUUAGUUUUAUAAAUAUGUUUUUGUCAUGUUUUUUUUUGCCUUUUUUCCAUGUCUUUUUCCUUUAGAGAUUUUGUCUUAAAGUGUCUUUAGCUUCUAUCUUUUUAAGCUUUUUCGUCUCUUGGGUUUUUAUUCUUUAGAUCUCUUAUUGGUUUUUCUUUUUUUAGAUAUCGAUAAAAUCUACAAAUGUCUUUGGUUUGUUUACUGUAAAUCUAUGUUUAAAAAUUGUGUAUCUAAUUUUUUCAUGGAUCUAAUUUGCUUUGUGGAUUAGUAGAUUUACAUUUUUAUUAUUACUAGGCUAAUUGAAUAUUUUUUGAUUUUUAAAAAUUAUGGUUGUUGCAUGCUAUAUUUUUUGUUCAUCUAAAAUUGAAAGAUUAUAAAAUUAAAAGAAACCUGUUACUUUUGACAACCCAGUUCUAAAAGAAAUCUAGUGCUUUUGAUGGAACUUAAUUCCCUAGCUGUUUCUUGGUUUUAUUUAUUCAAACUAAUUACUGAUUACAUAUUGAAAACUUUCUAUUUGUUGUUAUUUUUGCUGCAUUUAAAUUCAAUAUAGGCAUUUGUGAUUUGAGAUGUGGUUGCAACAGUUAACUCUUAACUCUAUCUCCUUAGUUGUUGUUCAGGAUUGAGAUUUGUGCUUGCCCCAAGUUUACUGUCUACUGUUUACUUUUUUUAAAGAGAUAAUGUUCGUACAAUGCUUUGGUUAUUUUUUUAGUUUUUCUUUUCAUUGUUUUUUUGUUUCAUUCUCAAGGAUUCUUCUUUGAGUUUAAUAAUAAUAAAAAUAAAUAAAAAUCUUUUUAAAAUCAGAGAAAACUAUUACUUUUAAUAAAGAAAAGUUUUACAAGUGGCUGUGGUAGUUUCUUUGCUGGAAAACUAUUUUUAGUUUGUGGGCCUGAUAUUUUUUAUGGAUAUAAUUUGCUUUAUAUAUUGUUUGUAUCAGGGUCUUUAAGUGAACUGAUUGAUAUUUCAAUUCUUGAGGGUGUUAGCUGCUGAGGAUUGCAAUUGAUAGAUUUAUUUGUUCUCUUUUACUAUUGGUGUGGUUUUUCCUUUCCAAUUUUUAUUUUUUUCCUUGCAUGUUUGGUUAUUUUUAUUUUCUACCUAUAUGUAUUUAGUUUACUAUUAAUUACUUUAUUGAUUCGGUUUCUUAUUUAUUUAUUUAUUUGCUUAUUUGAGAGAGUUCUUCAAGUUUCUAGCGUUAGUGGCAUAAAAUUCUAUUGAUUGCUUCGAUGAAGUUUUUAAAAUUUUACUUCUGCUUCAUUAAGUAUUUAUUAUUAUAUGUGUACAACUAUGAAUAUGUUGAUGAUUAUGAACUUAAGUUACUGUUAAUGUUGAGUACGAGAUCUAAUCUAUGUUGAUAAGAAUUGUUGAAAUUGACUAUAAGAAAUUUUAAAACUUUUUUGAUAUUUAAUUUAUUUAGCGAUGUCAGAGCAUUUUUUUUAUUGUGAGCAUCUCAUUUGCAGUUAAUUUAUGAUUAUUUUUUGGUAAUUAGUUAUUGGUGAUUUUUUUUACAACAUUUUCUUGGCAUCAUAUAGAUAUAUUUUAAAUUAGAUUACUAAAGAAAAGCCCUUGCUUCUAAAGGGUUUAGGGCUUUAUAUGAUUUCAUAUUUCCUACUAUCAGAUCUUUUAGUUUAUUAUUAGGCGGAUGUUUAUCUCUACCUAUGUUUUAAGUUAUGAGUUUUUUUAAAGCCAAUUUGAUUUAGUACUUAUCAUUAUACUCUUGAGUUUAGAUGUUCUAAUAGCUGUAAUCUUGAUUUCUUUCUGUUGUUGGUUAUAAAAUAUAUUUUUAUUCCAUUAAAUAUUUUUUAAAAACAUUAGAAAAAAUAUGUACACGAGUCUAAUCAUCAAUCUGCUUCUUUGUAGUUACUAUUUAUAAUUACUAUUUCUUUUAUGUUGAUUAUCUCUUUUAAUUGGAAUUUAAGAAAAAAAACUCCGGUAUGUUCAAAAUUUAAAGAAUUUUUCUUCC